GACAGACGUCUGGUCUCUCUCUCUCUGGGCCGCUGAUGGACAUGUGUGGCUCUUCUGAUGCUCCUCAUUGGUCAGAUUUGUGCAGAGACGAGCAGCAGCUCAAACGUCUGUCGGGAUCAGAACGCUCUUCAUGAGCAGAUGGACGCAGUAGAGAAGGUUUGAAAUGUUCUGUCCUCAAAGUUCUAGGUGUAUAUCUUACUGUGUGACUUGAGCGGGUGGAGGACUCUCUUCAGGAGCUGGAGGCGGAGCUGGCUCUUCUGCUGGAUGCUGUGGAGGCCCCUGAGUGGAGCCCCCUGCUGGACAAGCCACUCAUCGACAUACUGGACCAAUCUCACAGACUCUCAAACCAUAACAUCAGGAUUUUUACAUGAUAAACAGGGAAUCUGUCCACAGAAACAUUGUGUGUUAAUAUGUUUAGUCAGGUUCAAAAGAUGCAAUCACAAUGUUUACUAACCUUUUUUUAUUUUUCAGAAAAAUAGGAGUUAAUAUAACUAACAUUCGUUAAACCUACUCUAACUAAUGUAUACUUCUGUGUUCAGUCAGCACUUGUAGUAUAGCUACACUUGAGUGUACUUGAGUAUGACAGAUGGGUUCAAGUGUACUACAAGUGCUGACUGAAUACAUUUUAAAUAAAGAGAUACAGAAAAGAUUUAAUUCAUAUUCAUGGUGUCCCAAAAUAGUCCAGUUGAGUACACUCAGAUUAUUUUAUCUU